GAUAUAAUUGUUGUACUUGCAAUUUUCUAUACGGAAUUCAAUGUUAAUGUAAGAAAGGUAAACAUCAUAAGCGGGCAUCAGGCGAAAAAGUAUUUAAUAUUCAUAUAGUGAUAACAGUUUAUUAAAUUUAUUAAUAUCUUAUUAAUCCAAUUAAACUUACAAUAAUACGAAUGUGAAGUGUAAGAUUAGGUUUAUAUAUUUUCUUAGCGCUAACAUUUGGAUGCUGUCCUCUGUAUAUUCAAUAGAACCUUGGGUGACAUCAGUUGGAGUUUGCCAAAUGAACUCUGAACUUGGAACAUGCAAGGAUUACUCUUCUAAAUGGUUCUAUAAUUCCAUAUCUGGUCUCUGUGAAAAAACCUGGUAAAGUGGAUGUGGCGGUAACAACAAACUUUUUGACGAUUUCUAUUCGUGAUUACGUCGAUAUAGACAAAAUGAAACUGACACAGCGUCUUACCCUAUUUGUGAACAGCCAAGAAUAACAGGUCCAUGUUAAGCAUAUUUCAAGAGGUAUUAUUUUAAUGGACAAGAAUGUAAAGAGUUUGUCUACGGGGGAUGCCGGGGAAACGAAACAAUUUUGAAACGAAGGAACAGUGCAAGGCCACUUGUUAAAUCAACAUCGACAACACAAAA